GACGAACGCUGGCGGCGUGCUUAACACAUGCAAGUCGAACGAUGAAGUCCCUUCGGGAAUGGAUUAGUGGCGAACGGGUGAGGAACACGUGAGAAACCUGCCUUUCAUUUUGGGAUAACUCCGGGAAACCGGGGCUAAAACCGAAUACUCCGUCUCGGCGGCAUCGCCGAGCCGGGAAAAAAUUUUGAUGAAAGAUGGUCUCGCGGCCUAUCAGCUAGUUGGUGAGGUAAUGGCUCACCAAGGCAACGACGGGUAGCCGGCCUGAGAGGGCGACCGGCCACACGGGGACUGAGAAACGGCCCAGACUCCUACGGGAGGCAGCAGUGGGGAAUAUUGGUCAAUGGGCGCAAGCCUGACCCAGCGCCGCCGCGUGAGGGAUGAAGGCCUUCGGGUUGUAAACCUCUUUCAGUAGGGAAGAAGCGAAAGUGACGGUACCUAAAGAAGAAGCACCGGCUAACUAUGUGCCAGCCGCCGCAGUAA
rnacentral:rRNA from 1 species